UUACGGCCAUAUCAUGUUGAAACGCCGGUUCUCAUACGAUCAGCGAAGUUAAGCAACGUCGUGCCUGGUUAGUAUUUGGAUGGGUGCCG